rnacentral:lncRNA from 1 species
GGCGAGGCCCCCCAGAUUGGGCCCUGGUAAUGCAUGCGGGGUGAGGGUCGCGGCGCGCAGUUUGGGCAGCCUGGGGUGCUGGCCCAUGUGCUCACCCUGGAUGCAUAUGGUCUACUGAAAAACGUUCAGGCAGAGAGGGAGAGGGACAGGGCUUUGCAGGACAGGCUGGGUGAGGUGAUUAAGCAUGCUGACUUCUUACCUGGGGUUCCUUAGGAGAAAAAGAGGUUUGAUCAAAUAGGAUAGAAAACUAACAAGGAGAUGGUAGAUAGAACAUCCCCUUUACCCCCUCUCCGACACACAUACGCGCAGACACGCUAGGUUAGCAGUUUACGUCUUUGCAAAUCUGUAUCCGUGGUAGUAGUUAUGGUGGAAAGAGUGAAUAAAGGGCCUAACUUGGCUAGCUUCCUGUUUGCUUUUCCUGCAAAUGCUCCAGCAACAGGUGUUUUCUUAAAAAGUCAUGAACUUGGAUUGGGGCUUGACUGCAAAGUCUUGCAAAAUAUAACUGCGUCUUGUUGACUUGAAAAAUGCUGAACAUGGCUCCUCGCUUGAAUUCUGUCCUUAGGGCUGGAUUUUGCAAACUGGUACUACCCAUCAUUGCCUCUGCUAUAGGUUUCUGGUAUUAGUUCUUGUCAGACAUUUUAUCAGCCUUCCAGCUAAAGGGCAAAAAAACAGGAAUCCCAUUGGCUAAAGACUGUACACUGUUUGAACUAUAGUAGGUUGUGAUUGGCUGAAUGAUUUUUGAUUGUAGAGUUUCUACCAGAAAUUGGCUUCAUCAAAUUCUGCUUUAUUUGGACUUUAUCAUACACAGCAUGCCUUGUUUUG